rnacentral:rRNA from 1 species
ACUCAAAUGAAUUGACGGGGGCCCGCACAAGCGGUGGAUUAUGUGGUUUAAUUCGAAGCAACGCGAAAAACCUUACCUGGGCUUGAACUCCUACGAACUUGGCAGAAACGUCAGGGUGUCCGCAAGGAAAUGUAGUGAGAGGUGCUGCAUGGCUGUCGUCAGCUCGUGUUGUGAAAUGUUGGGUUAAGUCUCGCAACGAGCGCAACCCCUAUGAUUAGUUGCCAGCAUUAAGUUGGGCACUCUAAUCAGACUGCCUGGGUUAACCAGGAGGAAGGUGGGGAUGACGUCAAGUCCUCAUGGCCCUUAUGUCCAGGGCUACACACGUAAUACAAUGGCACACACAAAGGGAAGCGAACUCGCGAGGGGGAGCAAAUCUCAAAAAGUGUGUCUCAGUCCGGAUUGAAGUCUGCAACUCGACUUCAUGAAGUUGGAAUCGCUAGUAAUCGCGGAUCAGCACGCCGCGGUGAAUACGUUCCCGGGCCUUGUACACACCGCCCGU